rnacentral:miRNA from 1 species
AUUUGGUUGAUGCAAAAGUAAUUGCAGUUUUUAUUAUUACCUUUGUAGCAAAAACUGCAGUUACUUUUGCACCAAU